GAUGAACGCUGGCGGCGUGCCUAAUACAUGCAAGUCGAGCGAACAGACGAGGAGCUUGCUCCUCUGACGUUAGCGGCGGACGGGUGAGUAACACGUGGAUAACCUACCUAUAAGACUGGGAUAACUUCGGGAAACCGGAGCUAAUACCGGAUAAUAUAUUGAACCGCAUGGUUCAAUAGUGAAAGACGGUUUUGCUGUCACUUAUAGAUGGAUCCGCGCCGCAUUAGCUAAUUGGUAAGGUAACGGCUUACCAAGGCAACGAUGCGUAGCCGACCUGAGAGGGUGAUCGGCCACACUGGUACUGAGACACGGUCCAGACUCCUACGGGAGGCAGCAGUAGGGAAUCUUCCGCAAUGGGCGAAAGCUUGACGGAGCAACGCCGCGUGAGUGAUGAAGGUCUUCGGAUCGUAAAACUCUGUUAUUAGGGAAGAACAAAUGUGUAAGUAACUAUGCACGUCUUGACGGUACCUAAUCAGAAAGCCACGGCUAACUACGUG
rnacentral:rRNA from 1 species